CCUUAGGGUACAGAAGCCAAACAAAUGAAUCUUCUUUAAUGGUACUUCUGAUAACACUCUUGUGUGUGUGUGUGUGUGUGUGUGUGUGUGUGUGUGUGUUGUUGUUGAACUAUUUGGUAGCCCUGAAGACACUGAUGUUGAGAAAUGUGUUUCUUUUACUGUUGAAGGAGUAAUGGUUAGAGUACCUGCAGAGGUAGAUUUCAAAUCUCAUCCCCACAAGUGUUGAUUCCCUGGAUGAUGGUUUCAAGGGUUAGGCUAGAAGCACGAUCAUUGGUCUGUUUCUUGAAGCGAUGCCCUAGCUAAGCAGCUAAACACUAAGAUAAUAGGCAUACUGGAUUCUAGUAUCUAUAUUUCCAAUGUAUAUGUAGUAAUGAUGAAUAAUUCAUAGACUAUCUAAGAGCCAGUGGUAGAGAACAUUGUAUGAGGGGUCAUAAAUAUACCUGAGAUUUCAAGAUUAAUUGUGUUUAGUAUAAAGGUAAGUAGAUUUGUAAUGCCCAAGAAAACUUGGACUAAGUGAUAAAUGUGUUCUAACUCAAGAACCUGUAAUUUUAAAGUAAGUUAACAACACUUCACUGUACUGGAUAUCAAAAUUUUGCCUAACUGUGAACAUUUGGUAGAUGUAGAAAACAGUAGGUUUGAGGGCCCUGGUUCUGGGUACAAGAUAGGACAAGAAGAUAUGAGGUAAUACUAACAUCAUUUUCUCUGCCCUAAGUAUUGUCAGGAUUCUUCUUAAAACUUUUGAUCUUUUUAUUCCUAGAAAUAAUAUGUGUGGAUGCCAGGUAUCUCCUAUCUAAUAGGUAAUAUUAAUUGAUAUAGACAAAAAUAACCUUUGCUCUAGGACUUGUACUCAUUAAUUCUUCUUUUUAUAUCUUUGUGAUUUCUUGCAUCCUAUACUCUGUCUUUAUGGAAAGAUCUGCCUUUGAUUUAUCUCUGUAUUGAACACUUGCUUGACUUUAAUAUGAUAUCUGAUUGCCUGAGUUCAUGUACCAUCAACAUUCUUAUCCGGCCAUGAAGAGAUAACUUGCUCCACAAAAAGCCAUCAACAUAAAUCAAAUUAGGGGCAGGAAUGAAAUGUACUUUGAAGUGAGGGAAGGUAGUUCAGGGAGCAUUGAAAAUAGAUGCUUCUCUUGAAUAAAGCUAGGAUGGGCUUGACA
rnacentral:lncRNA from 1 species